rnacentral:rRNA from 1 species
AAUAGAUACCCGGGUAGUCCACGCCGUAAACGUUGGAUACUAGGUGUGGCGGUUAUACCAAUGACUGCCGUGCCGAAGCUAACGCAUUAAGUAUCCCGCCUGGGGAGUACGGCCGCAAGGCUAAAACUCAAAGGAAUUGACGGGUCCCCGCACAAGCGGCGGAGCAUGCGGCUUAAUUCGAUGCAACCCGGAGAACCUUACCUGGGUUUGACAUCACGGGAAAAGCUGUAGAAAUACAGUGUCCAUUAGGGCCCGUGACAGGUGGUGCAUGGCUGUCGUCAGCUCGUGUCGUGAGAUGUUGGGUUAAGUCCCGCAACGAGCGCAACCCUUGUCCUAUGUUGCCAGCGGUUCGGCCGGGGACUCAUAGGAGACUGCCGGGGAUAACUCGGAGGAAGGUGAGGACGACGUCAAGUCAUCAUGCCCCUUAUAUCCAGGGCUGCACGCAUGCUACAAUGGCCGGUACAACGGGCAGCGACCCCGCGAGGGUGAACGAAUCCUAAAAAGCCGGUCCUAGUUCGGAUUGAAGUCUGCAACUCGACUUCA